rnacentral:rRNA from 1 species
CCUACGGGAGGCAGCAGUGAGGAAUAUUGGUCAAUGGACGCAAGUCUGAACCAGCCAUGCCGCGUGCAGGAAGACGGCUCUAUGAGUUGUAAACUGCUUUUGUACGGGGAUAAACGCAGAUACGCAUAUCUUUCUGAAAGUAUCGUACGAAUAAGGAUCGGCUAACUCCGUGCCAGCAGCCGCGGUAAUACGGAGGAUUCCAGCGUUAUCCGGAUUUAUUGGGUUUAAAGGGUGCGUAGGCGGUCGGAUAAGUUAGAGGUGAAAUCCAGAGGCUCAACUUCGGAAUUGCCUCUGAUACUGUUCGGCUAGAGAGUAGUUGCGGUAGGCGGAAUGUAUGGUGUAGCGGUGAAAUGCUUAGAGAUCAUACAGAACACCGAUUGCGAAGGCAGCUUACCAAGCUACUUCUGACGUUGAGGCACGAAAGCGUGGGGAGCAAACAGGAUUAGAUACCCUAGUAGUC